rnacentral:misc_RNA from 1 species
CUGCAAUUUAGUGCGUAUAUCCUGAGUUCCUGAUUUUCACAAUUUGGUGCAUAGUUGAGUAACUAGCAUUGUAAAUCUCUUAAUGGGUAUCGUGUCUUGCUAUGUUUUUACCUGAAUCUUUGUGCUCUGUCUGGCUGCUUUGAAAGACAACAAGUCCACAGUAUUUGGAAGUGAAGUGCAUGUAUGAUUUAGUGGCAUUCUCAAUUUCGUUGCUCCAUUCCUAUAACCAGUUAUAUAUUGAUAUGUUUUUGUACAUUAACUAUGGAUUUAAGAAACACUUGUAGCUCUUAUAAUCGUUGUGUUGGUUUUUAUCUCUAGUAAGCUUAUUUGUUAAUUAUGGAUUUGGUGUAAAUUGUAGUUUUAAGCACAAAGCACUGGAAAUUUGAAUUUUCACUAGCUGCAUCUGGUUCAAACAAUUUUUGCAGGGGCUGAGUUUUAAUUAAGGAACGCAUUUAUCAAUCCUUAUUUGAUCAUUUUGGGGCAAUGGUUGCAUCAUUUUUGCAUGGGCUUAGUUUUAUGCACAUCUAUGGGUAGAAUAAUGUAUCAUUUCAGUUCAAUCAAAUUAAUGGGUGCUUUUGCCGAAUUGGUUAUUUAUUUACUUCAGUUUUGGGAUAUAUGGCAACACUGGCAUUCAGUAAACACAAGAAGGUUGACUUGGCUUAUAUAUAUAUAUAUAUCUCACUUUUGUGCUGGAAGGGGGGAGAGGAUGUCAUAUAUAAACAUGAUUGUUGAACAGGGCAUACCGAAAUGAUUAUUAUUCUUUUGGAACCAAAAUCUGUUAAAGAUUUCUGUUAGCUAAUCUUUAGAGGGACUGUCUUUGGCCUCAAUCCUUACCAUUAUAUAGUGCUUCAUGAAUAGGAGAUUUAUGUUUAAUGUGAAAUUAGAUUACUUGUCCUAUCUAAUCUCUGAUAUAUAUUUUUAAUUGUAUCUAAUUGGUCAUCUACUUCACAUGCAAUAAUACACUUUAGAUUUUACUAUUCUUGAUUUUCAAUUCUCAUUUUCAAUUUCAGACAGUAUGGUUCUUCCUCUCAUUUUUGGGUUGGACCUUUUUCUUGACACAUUUUCUUCUGCUGUAUCAGUGGCCAGAGAUUUUGCAAAACAAGGAGUCAAAUUAUGAGAUACAAUGGAUGGACAUUACAGUUUUGUUAAGUUUUCACAAGCAUAUCUUUUGUACAUUCUAUUCAGUCCUCUUAUCAUCUAGUUGAAAGCACAAAGACAACCUAUGGAAACGGAGCUACCGUUUCCAACCAUGGAGGUUAGACAUCAAGAAGUUAAAACAGUCUCGCGGAGUGAAGCUAUUUGCAGGAGUGUCGUUGCAAUUGCAGAUGGUCAAUGUAGUGUUGAUGCUUCUUGCCCCAUUAUAGUGCUGCACAAUAUUAGUCUACUUGGAACAUAAUUAUAGCAUGAUUUCUUUAUAGCUUUGUUGAUUAAUUUUUGUUGUAAAAUAAUUUUGUCGCACCAAUUUGUGUGUGAAAAAUGUGUUGUUUCGGCGAUUUGGUGUGUAG